AAAGCGGUUCAUUGUAAAACAGAAAAUAAAAGUGUUGUACAAAAUUAAGUUGGGGUACAAUGUAUCAUUAACCAUCAUGGUGCUGAUGAAACAUUACUUGAAAAUAGACAUAACGCUCCGUACUGAAUUGUUCGCGUUAUUACCGACGAAAAUAACCAACGUCGAGGGUAUUAAUAAAAAACGAACUGAUAUUACGAAAACACAAUUCUGCGACACUACAUUCUAUUGUAAAUAAUUUCCAGCCUGAAGACUUACUGACGAAAAUAAGUCAAAAAAAACGCAAGAAAAACUAUAACGGAGUUAAAAAGGCUCACUAGGAUAACUGCAGCUUUAACGGGACAGGGAAACUCGUUAGGAGCCCUAUAGUGUUUAUAUUGAAUCACACGAGCUAUUUUGAAAAUUUGCAAUUACGUAGCGCAAGAUAGUUAUAAUUACGCCGCACGGACACCGAUGAAAAUGGCCGGGAUUCGGCGAGGGAGCUGCAGCGAUGAAGGGACUCGUUAGGAGUAUCGUGGCCCUACAGUCGAUAAUUCGAGACGAUUAUUGGUCCGCAAAUGCGGCCAUUGCGGCCCGACGAUGGAAGGAUACGUGUAAUUUAAUCGAAGCCCGAUCCUCGCGACCGAUAAGGGAACGCGACUUCCUGCACCCGCGCGAUUACGGUUAUUAGCCGGGAAACAAUUGAAGUAAUGGACUCGAGUUCGAGGUCCGAUGAAUUAUUCCUCCUUGUAGUUUUUUUAAACGAGUUACCGCAUCGAUUAUCCGGAUCGCACGAAGGAGACGCGUUUCGCCUCGUUCGUGCUCGAUCAAUGGGGAAUUUCGACAGCAAUUGCCUCGUAAACCUCUCAGCUAGGAGUUCAUCAUCUACACCGAGAAACGUUAGCUGGUAAUUGUUCCUAAAAUUAUGUACAAUGUUUAACGCGGGUUAGAUUUGGAUAAUUAAACGAGGCGCCGUGGAAUAUCACGUCGGA
rnacentral:lncRNA from 1 species